rnacentral:sRNA from 1 species
GCUGGGCUCAGUGGCGUAUGCCUGUAAUCCAGAGGCUCUGGAGGCUGGGGCAGGAAGAUAACAAGUUCAAAGCCAGCCUCAGAAAUGGCAAGGCAUAAGCAACUCAGUUAGACCCUGUCUCUA